GUCCCUGUGACUUCUUGACUGUUUGCAGGUUCAGUGUGAUAACAACCCGCUGGGUAAUGUUAGAGUGGUGGUCUACAUCCUGUGCACAUGUCCCAUAAACUAGACACCUCUUCAUGGAGAGAGGAGAUUAACGAUGAAGGGGAACCAAUGGAGAUCAACUGAAACACACUGGUGUGCCUUAUUUUAUCAUUUAAUACAAUGCCUGUUUUAUAUAUUUGGGGGGUUUUAAAAGGCAAUUCCACCAAAGUAAUGCAUGUCUAUUGACUGUUCAGUGAUGAGCAAAAUGGAAACUGAAGCAAAGAUCAUACACCAAGAUAUAACCUCUGUGGUUAAUGGUAAUAGUCAGAGAUUAGCAUGUCUUGGGGGUAUGAUCUUUGACCCUCUGUAACAUUCUCACUCAUCAUAAUUCAUAAUUCAUUCGGUAUUAUCCCUAAUCAUUGUAGCACCCACAUUGUCACUGUUUUUGAUGGUAAAAUAAAAAUUUCAGUCUGA